GAAGACUGUAAGAGAUUGCUUUCACUUUUUUCUCUCUCUUCUACUCGAAAACCGACUUGUUUUAACGCAUAUUCACAGAUUGGGGCGGUGAAUCGUGGGUGGGUGCCUUCUUUUUGUGCGGAGAGAACCUGAUGCCCAAGAUUUGGGCUUCUCACGGGGCUGCUGGUCAUGAUGAUGAAGCGUGGGCGGCGGCGGAUCUGAGAGACUGCAAAAUUCAAAGCUUUCUGGAGACCCAUCUUCAAAUCCUCCAUGACCCAUCGUCGAAUUUCUGAUCUUCAUCCAAAUUUUUGUGGGUAUCAAAGGAAAUUGAGUAAAAGCAUAGAAUAGAGUAGCCCCAAUUUGAUUACAACUGCUUUCAUCUUCUCAUGUUGAUUGAUUGAUUGAUUCUUUUUGAGGCAUGCCGUGUACCUUAUCAGCUAGAUUAUAGGGUUAUAUAUACAUAUAUAUUGAAUAUGCAUGCAAGGCAUCGCAGUCCUGGAAGUGGUUACAGGUCAGGUUCAGUUGGGAUGGGUUUAGAUGGUGCUUCUCUUCGAGGUCAUGGCUUUUACAAUUCCGACCACAGGAGCUUCAACCGUGGUGGUGGUUUUGGGCGGGGCCAGGCCCACCUAAAAUCAUACCACCAGCAACAGCCACCGCUGCCGCCACCACAACCUCACCGGAAAGCUGACAUUUUUAUGGAGGCAGGCAGGCUUGCGGCAGAGUAUAUGGUCUCUCAAGGUAUGCUGCCUCCCAACACCCUCGCUGCUAAAUGGCAGAAUGGUAGUUUAAAGAACGAGUUUAGUUCUCAAGAGGGAGAUAAUCUGGAGGGCAGGACAUCAGCCCUUGCCCGUUUGGGCAGUACUGGUUCUGAUGUAGGUUCUGGUAGGAGAAGAUACCCUGAUGAAUUUGAGACCAGGAAUUAUGUCAAAGGAAGGAAGAGAGGGAGGCCUCAUCAUGGGUUUGGAUCUGACUCGUCUCGAGACUAUGGGAGGAGUAGGUCAUGGUCUGGUAGGGAUAAGGGGGAGUUUGUUGUGGAGGGGGGCGAUGAUGAUAAUUUUUCUGAGAGGCGUCAGGAAGAGCAGCAAGGUACUAAGGAUGUCGGUAAUAGUUUUCCUGGGUGCAGCUCGGUGGAUUCAUUGGCCAAGGGUGAGGAAAUUGGUGAUGCUGAAUCUGGACAGGAGAAGCACAAUAGUUCGAAAGAAAUGGGUUCCAAGUUGAUUACUUCAAAUGUUGUGAAAGACAUUAUACAUGAGAAUGAUUGGCCAACCUCCAAGGUUGAUGGAGAAGUGACAAAUUCAAGUGUGGUGGCUGAUGAGACGAAGGAUGCUGCUAGCAAUGAUGGACUCGUGAAACAGGUUGUGCUGGUGGACUCACCCAUUCAGCAAUGUCCUCCAGAGGCUGCUUCCUCAAGCAAGAAGGGCACUGAUUUAUUGGCGCUGUGCAAAUUUUCUAAAAUGCCAACAAAAACACGAUCAUCCUUGACAUAUAGUAGGAAUUCGAAGGUUGAUCAUGUUCCUAAUAAAAAGGAGAACAAUUCCGACGGUGAGACAUAUGUAGGAUCUGAAGUCUUGGUUAAAGAUAACUCCCCGGAAGGAUCUGAAGUUUUGGUUAAAGAUAACUCCCUGGAAGGAUCUGAAGUCUUGGUUAAAGAUAACUCCCUAGACAUCUCACCAGUUGCUGUACAAUCAGAUAAACCUAAUCAUACUGAAGGCCCUGACUUGGAAACUUCAAAACAGCCAUCUGUUCAUUCUGUUGAGGAUGUAGGAGACUUGAGUCCAUCAUAUUCUGUCGAGCUGGGCACAUGUACAAGGUCCCCAUCUUUCCCUGAUAGAGGAUUUAUGCAUGAAGACAACAAAGUAGCAGGUGAGGGAACAUCAGGACUUGAAAGGACUGGCAUCGUGAAUGGAGAAAGAGGUGAGAAGCGACCUAACGAAUACAGUGAUAGCAGGGAGGGAAGCAAGAAACCAAAAGAAUGGAUUUCAUUUAUGGUUGGUAAGUCUGAUGAGUAUUUCCAGCUUUCCAAUUUGAGCAAUAACAAAGUGUAUUCACAAGAAGAGGGGCCUUUGUCUCGGUUUCCUGAAAGUGAAGUAUCUGUUGAGUAUGCACAGGAAAAACAGCUCUUGCCAAGUUCAUUUAAGACCUGCGAUCUUAAUCUCAUGGAAGUGUCUGAUAUGAAUGAGAGUCAUCACAGUGAUCCAAUGCUUAUAUACCCAUCCAUUCCUGAAGCCAAAAGAAAAGCAGCACCUAUUGAUGUUGAUUUGUCCAUAAGUAAUUCCAAUUUAUGUGGUGAUUACAGUAUGCGAACAAGUGAUGGCAAGGAGAUUGAAGUAAUUGACUUAGAUAAUGAUUCUGCACCUGAAGACAAGGCUUUUGGUAAUUUACAAAGAAAGAUGGAGCCUGUGUUUCCUGGCUUGGAGGGCUUUUCCAACAAUGCCGCAAAUGCUAGUGAUAUUCCUGAUGUUGAUGAUAAUUAUGAUGGCCUUUUACUGUCUGAAUACUUGAACUCUUUUCCAAACUGUGCUGCAAUACCAGAGGACAUCAAUCCAAUGCAGAAUGAGAUGAACCUUCACAAUGGCGAGGUACCACAGAAAAUGGGGACUCUCGCUGAUGAUGACUCAAUCUAUACUUCCCUGGGAGAAAUACCGCUAAGUAUGCCAGAUAUUUAAUUUCAUGGUUUCAAAGGUGAUGCAAGCUACUCAAGCUUCACAGAUAUGUAGUGGUCCUUCUAUAUACUCAAGCACAUGGACAAAGGAAGUAGAGCAAGGCUCGGCGACGAACUUGGAAAACUGAGAAUGGACUUGUAUUUUCUUUAAUUUCUUAACCAAAGGUGAAGAUUUAGAUUAUGAAGUGUUCUACAAUUUCUGAUAUAUUAGCAGUUAGCGUAUUUGGAUGGAAUAGUUCCAGAAGAUGUGUAUAGAGGUUGAAGAUGCUUUCUGAUUUUGGGGCUGCCAAUUUGUAUUUUCAUUUGAAUGUGAAGAAUGUUAAUCUUAGCUUGAGAUCUUAAGCAACACAAAGUUGUUUAGCUUGAGACAUUGAUUCAUGGACUUUAUUUUACUGUGGUGUUGUAGUGUACCUUGAAAUCUUGAAUAUUGUUGUGAUACAUUUCUGAAAAAAUAGAGCCAGGAUUAUGAAUUUGAUAGAUGUGCCUUUGUACC